GCCUGGGUGGUUCAGUUGGUUAAGUGUCUGACUUCAGCUCAGGUCAUGGUCUCACAGUCUGUGGGUUCAAGCCCCGCGUCGGGCU
rnacentral:tRNA from 1 species